rnacentral:rRNA from 1 species
GGAAUAUUGGACAAUGGGGGCAACCCUGAUCCAGCCAUGCCGCGUGAGUGAAGAAGGCCUUCGGGUUGUAAAGCUCUUUUGGCGGGGACGAUGAUGACGGUACCCGCAGAAUAAGCCCCGGCUAACUCCGUGCAAGCAGCCGCGGUAAGACGAAGGGGGCUAGCGUUGUUCGGAAUUACUGGGCGUAAAGGGCGCGUAGGCGGUCUUGUCAGUCAGGCGUGAAAGCCCUGGGCUCAACCUGGGAGGUGCGCUUGAUACUGCAAGGCUUGAGUGCAGGAGAGGAUGGUGGAAUUCCCAGUGUAGAGGUGAAAUUCGUAGAUAUUGGGAAGAACACCGGUGGCGAAGGCGGCCAUCUGGACUGCAACUGACGCUGAGGCGCGAAAGCGUGGGGAGCAAAC